rnacentral:tRNA from 1 species
ACCUGGCUGCCUCAGUUGGUGGAGCACAUGACCCUUGAUCUUGGGGUUGUGGGUUCGAGCCCCACACUGGGUG